AAAAGACAUGGUGUAACCCAAUUUUCUAAACUCAAGCCCAUAAUUCCUAAGCCCAUACUCCUGUAACCUAAAAAUAACCCUAAAACCCUAGAUAUAGAUUAGAUUUUUUACACAAGAAGGGAGGAGGGAUCAACCAUUUUUUGACAUUAGACCUAACCCUAGGAAUCCCCCAUCAGCUUCUUCUUAACAGAAGACAAAAACCUUAGCCCUAGCUAAGAGCUCUCAGCCGUUUCUGAUAAAAAAACCGGCGGUACACCAGAUCUCCCUUCAACAAGACCAGUAGCUUCACCACCAUGGCACACCAGUUCCUUGACGACGGGAAGCACCAUGAAAACGCUGUCCCUCACCACUAAAAGCUUGUCAGAAAAUAGUAGCGGCUAAGCUUCAGCACACCUAGGACCCUUCUCCAUCUCCUUCACACUAGCGACCCCCCCUCACCGUUCAUCUUUCGGAAUAAAAACACAGAGCCGUUCCCCUUCAUCUUCUUCACCAUCCCUUUCUUUCUCAAAACAUCACUGCCGCGACCACACACACACGCACACAUGAGAAACAUAGGCUGAAGCUAAAAAGAAUAAACGAAAAAAUGUGGGUUCGGACAGAAAUUGAGACAAGAACUUAGGAUAGAGUUUGACUAAAGUUCGAGUUUUCUGUUGAAGUUGCCGAUGAGUUUUCUCCGGUCGUGGUCAUAUGCACUGUCGAGGUCCAAAACAGUCAUGGUCAUGGUCAUUAUAGAGGUCUAAUUCUAAACUUUUCUUCAUUAUCUUUUCUCAUGUGGAUAUACUGUAUUUACUUGCUAUCGUAUCCUUAGCUAUUGUUACGCGGAUGAUUUGCCUUCUCUGUUUCAAAUUGGUUUAGGUGAUCUUUGUUUUUUUUAUGUUUUAAGUUUUUAAGUAUAAAGAAAUAUUCUGCAAAUAUAAAUAUGUGUUGAAGAACAAAAGCUACCUAACAUGCUAAUGAGUUCAGUCAGAGCAUUUUAUCAAUGUGUAUUUGAUUGUUUCACUUAAGUGACUCGUGAGGUCAGUAUUUGGCAAAGAGAAUCUUAUUAAUUGAAAUUAAGUGCAAUAUGGAUUUUGGUCUCAGUUUAUGAAAUAAAUUGGAUUUAACACUAGAUUUACUAAUGUUUUAUUUUUCAACCGACAGUAGCAUGUUUUAAGCCUAUCACACGUGGGUAGACAAAUUUUCCGGUGCGUAAAUAAUCAUCAUGACUAUGGGUACGGUUCCCGUGGUAUAUGUAUGCAACAAAAUCAGGAGGGCCGAUUUCUUGCUAUUAGUUCAUUUCAGAAGAAUACCUCGAGGCCUCAAGGACGCGAAGUUGUGGCCGAGUUCCCUCCCUCGAAGCUCGUCGAGGCUCGACCUAAAGGGGAUGCCGAUCGAGGUUAGAGUAAAAAUGGGGAUUCCCAAGGCACGCGGCUAAGUCUGACAAAGCUGGCCUGUCUAGAGCCUGUAUCAAGGUGUCACAUCUAGCCGUCCCAUCUCCAUACCUUUACAAUUAAUUCAUUUUGUACUAUGUUGAAUUUCCCCUCCUAUAUAAAGGGGAUCCUUACCACUUUGUAAGGGGCUGCUGUUGCUCCAACUAUUCUACACAAGAAAAAAAUAACAACUCUUUUUUUUUCUCUUUAACAUAUUCUCUCGAUACUAUUGCUAUUGCUUAUUACUUUCAUACUUGUUCUUCAUUUAUUGCUUGUUAUUGGCC
rnacentral:lncRNA from 1 species